GAUGAACGCUAGCGGCAGGCCUAACACAUGCAAGUCGAGGGGCAGCACGUCUUCGGAUGGUGGCGACCGGCGCACGGGUGCGUAACGCGUAUGCAACCUACCUCUUACAGUGGGAUAGCCCAGAGAAAUUUGGAUUAAUACCGCAUAGUAUACAGAUUCAGCAUUGGGACUGUAUUAAACAUUUAUGGGUAAGAGAUGGGCAUGCGUUCUAUUAGUUAGUUGGAGUGGUAACGGCACCCCAAGACAGCGAUAGAUAGGGCCCGUNAGAGGGGAGUCCCCCACCACUGGUACUGAGACACGGACCAGACUCCUACGGGAGGCAGCAGUGAGGAAUAUUGGACAAUGGCGAGAGCCUGAU
rnacentral:rRNA from 1 species